CCUAGAAGGGAAGAAGGAAAAGAGAGAUUUUUCUGAGUGUGAAGAGCCCUGGGCAGGAGGAGGCCAGCAGGGCCUGGAGCCAGCCUCCAGUUUGUCCAAUAGUGUCCUCCUGUAGAAGGACCGGGCAAGGGUCCUCCUGGGCUUGGAACUGCAUGAGCUUGUUCUCUUCCCGUUUAACAAUGCUGAUCACUAAUCUUCCACUGAUGCUGACUGAUACUUGCACAUUUACAGAGGUGCCUUUAUUUGCAGGUGUGCAAGGUACAUGGAAACAGCCUGAGAAGAGAGCUGUCCCGACGCGGAGGCAGGGGAGAGGCGCUAGCCCAGCCACGGAGGAGGGCCACCUUGCGCUGAGGGCAGUGAAAGGACACUCCCAGAGUCCUCACAAAGUCCAAGGACCACGCCACACACCGGAAUCCCAUGCAAGAGAUUUACUGUCAGUAACAGGAGGCAAACCGACAAGGCCGUCCCUGGGAGGAGAGCAGCAGCCUGUGGCACUCACAGAGCAGCUCCAUAGCCUGCAGGAGGAAUCUCGUAAACUGCUUAGGAGCCUAAGCUGGGAGGGGUCGAUCCUUCAGCAGGCACACAUCUUACGGGAAGUUGGAAGUCAUGCAGUUUUGCCUCAGAAUCCAAACUUUGGAACCUCUAGGUAAAAUGGCUCCCGACCUCAGAUGGUGAAUCUGAUGCCAAUAGCCAGGCUAUAUGGACAAGGACCAAACCAACUCCAUUUUUCCCCGAGACUCCACGUCAUGUAAGAAAUGCUUCUGCCAUGGAAAGCCCACCUCUGUGCCCACCAACAGUUGCUUGGCACAGCAAGGUUGGCAACAGAAAAUGGCGAUCCUUAUACAAUGUGGAAGUGUUCUCUCUUUGGUUUCUGCUUCUCUUGGACAAUGUAUCCAAUCUCUGAGUGUCUACAUGUUAGUAACCAUUCUGUAACUUACACACAACUAGGGACGUUUUGGCCCACUCUCUUUUCUGCUUAUGAUUUUAGAUCUCAUGACAUUUGUGCUUUUGAAUCAGCAACAGCCACUUGUGCUUUAAUAUGGUUUUGGACUAUAAAAGGUGUACUCAACAGGAGGGGGUCAAAGGAUGUAGACUUGCAGCCUCCCUCUUAGCCCACCAGCUGAUGGAUCAGGACGGCCAACUGGUGAAUAAAUUUGUCUCCUGUUUUAA